rnacentral:rRNA from 1 species
AACGAUGAGAAUGAAGUUCUUGAAAAAGCAACCUCUUACAACACAAAGGUAAUAUUCCUGAAUGACAGGAAGUAUAUAGUAAACAACCACAAAAUCUAUUAUGUAGAAGAACUCCAGAAAGACGCAGCAGAAGAAGACAUCUUCAGUACCCCAAGCAAGAAGAAAAACCACCAUAUUGUUAUCAAGCAAACCAACCAAGAC